rnacentral:rRNA from 1 species
CCAAUAGCGUAUAUUAAAGUUGUUGCAGUUAAAAAGCUCGUAGUUGAAUUUCGGGACCAGUAUGUUGGUCGUGCUUCGGUACGUACUGUCAUUACUGGUUUCUACCUUCUGAAGAACCUUGAUGUCAUUAAUUUGGUGUCUUGGGGAAUCAGGACUGUUACUUUGAAAAAAUUAGAGUGUUUAACGCAAGCAUACGCUUGAAUACAUUAGCAUGGAAUAAUGAAAUAGGACGUUUGAUUCUAUUUUGUUGGUUUCUAGGAUCGACGUAAUGAUUAAUAGGGAUAGUUGGAGGCAUUAGUAUUCAAUUGUCAGAGGUGAAAUUCUUGGAUUUAUUGAAGACUAACUACUGCGAAAGCAUUUGCCAAGGAUGUUUUCAUUAAUCAAGAACGAAAGUUAGGGGAUCGAAGACGAUCAGAUACCGUCGUAGUCUUAACCAUAAGCUAUGCCGACUAGGGAUCGGAUGAUGUUAUUUUUAAUGACUCAUUCGGCGCCUUACG